GAUGAACGCUGGCGGCGUGCCUAAUACAUGCAAGUCGAGCGAACAGACGAGGAGCUUGCUCCUCUGACGUUAGCGGCGGACGGGUGAGUAACACGUGGAUAACCUACCUAUAAGACUGGGAUAACUUCGGGAAACCGGAGCUAAUACCGGAUAAUAUAUUGAACCGCAUGGUUCAAUAGUGAAAGACGGUUUUGCUGCCACUUAUAGAUGGAUCCGCGCCGCAUUAGCUAGUUGGUAAGGUAACGGCUUACCAAGGCGACGAUGCGUAGCCGACCUGAGAGGGUGAUCGGCCACACUGGAACUGAGACACGGUCCAGACUCCUACGGGAGGCAGCAGUAGGGAAUCUUCCGCAGAGGGCGAAAGCCUGACGGAGCAACGCCGCGUGAGUGAUGAAGGUCUUCGGAUCGUAAAACUCUGUUAUUAGGGAAGAACAAAUGUGUAAGUAACUAUGCACGUCUUGACGGUACCUAAUCAGAAAGCCACGGCUAACUACGUG
rnacentral:rRNA from 1 species